UCGGCGGCCAGGGCCGGGCGCUGUGCGGUGGAGACGGUGCGUCGCAGAGUCCCGAGUGUCGGAGAGCGCGCGAACAGGAAAUGAUGAUAUAAAUUAAAAAAAGAAAACGGAGCACGCAAUGACACCACAUUUCCAGGCUGGAUUCCGCUUAAACAUUCCUGAGGAACUGUGCACAUCUGCUAACUUAAUGCAGACAGGCUUGCCAUGGAGCCACAGUCACCAAGCUGAUUGAGCCCGCAAAGGUGAAGAGGAGGCACCUGGGAGAUAGGAGCCACCUGGCCCCAGAGCAAAGCAGCAUACACUCAUUUGGAGAAUUUGAAGUGACAGAUAUCCACAAAGAAGAACACACUGACAAAUCAACAGUAAUAACUCUAUUAGCCUGCAUGGAUCCAUUGCUUCUAUGCAUGAAUCUUACUUGUUACAAACUAAAAUUAGACUAAUCAUCUUGUACUUGACUUUUUUGCCUAAACAUGAAAUAAUAAGCAGAAUUAAGUUGGCCUAUAUUCUUUUAUUUAUUUUUCUUUGUAAGAAAACACCUUAUAUUAAUUAAGU